rnacentral:rRNA from 1 species
GAUGAACGCUGGCGGCGCACUUAAGACAUGCAAGUCGAACGGACUUAACCGAAAUAUUUAUAUUUUGGAGCGGUUAGUGGCGGACUGGUGAGUAACGCGUAAGCAAUCUGCCUAUUAGAGGGGAAUAACAGUGAGAAAUCACUGCUAAUACCGCAUAUGCCAUGAACAUCGCAUGAUGAAAAUGGGAAAGGAGUAAUCCGCUAAUAGAUGAGCUUGCGUCUGAUUAACUAGUUGGUGUGGUAAUGGCAUACCAAGGUAACGAUCAGUAGCCGGACUGAGAGGUUGAACGGCCACAUUGGGACUGAGAUACGGCCCAGACUCCUACGGGAGGCAGCAGUCGGGAAUAUUGCGCAAUGGAGGAAACUCUGACGCAGUGACGCCGCGUAUAGGAUGAAGGUUUUCGGAUUGUAAACUAUUGUCAUUAGGGAAGAUAAAAGACAGUACCUAAGGAGGAAGCUCCGGCUAACUACGUG